GACUGCACCUGGGGCCACCACCUUAAAGUGGGCAGAACUUGCCUCUCCUGCUCCAGCACUUUUUAAACUUUUUUUUUUUCCCUCCCCUUGCUUUUUUUUUUUUUUUUCCUUUUUGUGCACGAAGCGCACCUCCGCGGACGGCUCAGCUCCUCUCCCCGCUCUCCUCCUCCCUUAUAACACCCCUUAUAACACCCCUUCCCUUUGCCCUCGCUGGUGGGGCACGACAACCAAGCGUGCUGUGCAACCCCACUGCAGGAACGCUGGCGUUCUGCUGCUGUUCCACUUGCUCUGGAAUUCUGGUCAACGGAAGGAAGAACAAGAAGAGAACACACAGGCCCUGAAAGUCUUUACUUACCAGCUGGGUUCAGUUCCCAUCUCCAUACCUUUUUUUUUUUUUUUUGGCUUAAAGUUAAGUAAAACAGUUGCAAGAUGGGAAUUGUACCUAAUUAACAGAGGUUCUCUGAGCACCAUCGAGCAGCCAAAGCCCACUGCUGGUCAGAACAGGACUUGGCACUCCAGUACUCCCAGUUCACCCAGGCACCAAGGAUGUGGGAACUGGGACUUGGAUCCUUUACUUGGCUUCAAGGCCCUGAGAAGCAAAGCCACCCCAUUGUGUCGAAUGGUUUCCAACAGUAUUUGCCACUCCUUGCAGAGAUACACUCAGGUCUCAUUUCGUUUGGGAGAUUUGAGGAUUUGGGGGUGGGGGACUUUUAGUGUUUCCAGUUCUUUAGAUGAGAAGCAACAUUCAAAUCCAAAGCACACCCAUUACAGUCAAACUUUGGUAUUAAUCUUUGUUCUGUUUGCACCUGCAUAGUAGUAAAACGUAUCUGUUCAUGAUCACAUUCCUUCCCCAGAAUCCUAGGAGAGAUGAAGGAUGAACGUUUAACAGCCUUUCCCUUUGCCUCACAGAUGAGAAGCUCCUGGGAAGAGGACAGAUACCUCCUAGAGGGUUUGCACAGUGCUUCGCUCGGGGUCUCAGAUCUCCCCCAUGAUGUAAUUAGCUCAGUUUGGCUGCACUGAGCAGCACUAAGUGCCAUGCUGGGCCACACUGUAUUUUCCUGCUGUCUGCCCUGUGCUAUGGGAAGCCUUUGGCAUCAGACUUCAGUUAUGCACCAUGUUGGGCUGCACACAGUAUUCCUUCUGCCCUAUCUAGGCUGAAAGAAAGCAGUAGCUUCAUGUAUUCUCAUUAUUGCAAGUAAGACCAGACAGUUCUUCACUGUGCCCAUCUGCAUUCUUUUGGUUUUGUAGAUUCAAAUCCCCUGCUUAUUAUGGUAUAGGCUAAAAUAAAAAUGAAUGAAAACAGAGUUGGGGGGGGAACGUAUUGGUGAACAGAAGUUUCAGCAUAGAGGAUUCCCAUCAGCACUGACUGUAGAGUUUCACACCUCCUAUAUUUGACUUGAGCAUCACUGACGUACCAGCUGCACACCCCUAAAACAUGCUGUGGGACACACUGAGCACGCCUGCGUUUCCCAGGAGAAAUAAGGACAAUCCAUGGGUUCUGUUGUCCUUCAUUCCACCGGAGUCUGUCUCGUACCUAACCAGAUUUCAGUGGAGUGAAGCACAAGAGACAUGGAGAUGAAUCAGCAACGAGAGGAACUGCUCCCCAGUGGCAGAGCAAGGAAAUGGCAUGGACAUGGGUGCACCACGCAUCCCAACAGAGGCCAGGCAUGCUGGCAAACAGAGGAACAGCACACCGAGCACUUCAAUAAGUUGAAUAUUUCUUCACAACCUCCAGUGAGAGCCCAUUCUGUAUUGUAUAUAUAGAGGAAAAAAAAAGUCUACAAAGACCACAAGCUGGUUUCCUGGAGGCUUAAAUACCUUCUUAGCAGGAUAUUAAACGCUCAUGUGGAUAAAUAAGAUGUGUAACCAUUGCUUUCAGUCAUCUUCCCUCUAGGAUUGUGGAGCUGAGUGCAGGAACCAGAAUGGAACUGUCUCAGGGCACAAACAGUGCGUUCCCUUAGGGAUCCCUCUAAGCAUCCACCCCUUGCCUCCCCUUCCAGCAUCCCUGCUGCUGUACCUUCAGAGCAUGGCAGAAUGCCAUUACAACUGUAGGCCCAUUUAUUCCGUAAUAAAACAUAUGUAAAUAAGAUUCAAG
ensembl:lncRNA